rnacentral:lncRNA from 1 species
UUUCAGAAUAAUUCUUCAGCAAACACACACAAAAAAAGAAACUGUGUAAACAAAUAGACAGAAAUCUCAGUAACCCCACCGCCACUAUCUGCAGAGAAUUAAAAAAUGGAUAUCCAUGCUUUAAAGCAGAUCCUCAGGCUGUGUGUCCCAGUGGAGCAGUUCCCAGAAAUGCUGUAGUGCCUUGCAGUGAGCCCUCCAUGGUAAAACGUAGGAUAGCUUACCUUGCUGGUUAGCAAAUAAUUCCCCAGACUCUGAGGUGGAAAAAUCCAUCUUGGCAGCUGAACAACCUUGCCUGUUUGUCUGCAGGUAGGGAACUCAUGUGAUGAGAGAUCUAAAAUGGGUUAACGUUUGUGUUGAUUACCAAUUAACAUGGCAAUUGCAACUAAUUUUUAUACAAAUUGCAUCAACUUCAAGUGAAUAUUGACUAUCUUCUCUAGCAAUCAUUUCUUGCCAACACACAGCUGCUAACCACGAGUGCUACCCAGCAGGUCUUCUUGUGAGCUAUUAUGGGGUGAUGAAAUGAUAACUCAGCUAUUGGGAACCUCAGGUUCC